CACCCCUGUCCAUCCCCUCCCUCUCGCAGAUUCGCUUCCUCUCCCUUAUCCUCUCUCCCUCUCGCUCCACCACUGUGGCCCUCGCCCCACUUCCCUUUGCCUCCCUCCCCCGGCGAGCCGGCCUCCGCCGGCCUCCUUCGACCGCCCCCUCCCUCCCCCGGCCCGCCUACCCGCUGGAUCUGGGGCCGCACGGCCGGUCUGCUGUGUCCUCCACGCUGCACGGGCUCGGCGCCGUCGCCUCCGCCAAGCCCAGAUCCGCCGCCUAGCCUCUGCAGCGGCGGCGAUGAGGAGCGUGCGCCGUGCGCAUGGCCGCGGCGGCGGCGGCCAAGGGAGAAGCGGGCUCCGCGCGAGGCAGGCUGCUGGCUCGGAGCGCCAUUGCAGCGAAGGCGGAUGAGGCGGCCACGGCGGCUGGAUCCAAGUCUGGUGGGUCUGGAAGUACAUUUGUGUUGGUCAGCUCAACAUCACAAGAAAAAAGAAUGCAGAGGUAUGGUUCUUGGAUGCAGAUGUCUAAAUGAAUGCAGAGGUAGAUCUUGGAUGCAGAUGUCGUGGAGGUCUUGCUAAAGCACAUUGCACAUGCAUUGGUGUUUGGUUUCGUACUAGAGGAUCAAACAAAUGUGAGAUAUGCCAGCAAGUGGCUGUCAAUAUCUGCUCUCCAGAGACGCAAGCAAGUGUAUGUUUACUAUUUUGCAAUCUGUAUUGGACUAUUUUGAGAAUGCUCCAGAGUUGAUUUUCUAGAAGUUGAGCUUGCUUUUAGUUGAAGCAACUUAAAUGUCGUACUAACAUGUAUGUGAUGUGAUGCAUUGUUUCAUCAUUUGUGUUUCAUGAUUUCAAUUUUGACAUGAUUUAGGCCUCUAUGUGUGAGCAGAUCAGUUUCUUGUACAGAGCUAGAGGGCACGAGGAUGACAUUGCUCAUUUACUUGUUUUCCUGGAUACAAUUCAUGUUUUUUGUUUUCUGUAGGACUCUAAUAAUGUGUACGGAUGUAAUUGAAUGUAACUUAUGGAUGUAAUUAAGGAAUAUAAGAAAUUUUGAUUUCUUU